rnacentral:rRNA from 1 species
CAGUCGCCACGGGAAUACGAAGGGUGCAAGCGUUACUCGGAAUUACUGGGCGUAAAGCGUGUGUAGGUGGUUGUUUAAGUCUGUCGUGAAAGCCCUGGGCUCAACCUGGGAAUUGCAGUGGAUACUGGGUCACUAGAGUGUGGUAGAGGAUAGUGGAAUUUCCGGUGUAGCAGUGAAAUGCGUAGAGAUCGGAAGGAACAUCUGUGGCGAAGGCGACUAUCUGGGCCAACACUGACACUGAGGCACGAUAGCGUGGGGAGCAAACAGGAUUAGAUACCCCUGUAGUCCCUGUCUCUUAUAC